CAUUGGGUAAAUUCUAAAUCAUUGAUAAACUUCAAACCAUUGGAUAAAUCCUAAACUCUUGGAUAAAACCCUAAACAUUCGGAUAAACUCUAAAACCUAAAUUCUAAACUCUAGGGUUUAGAAUUUACCCAAUGAUUUAUGGUUUACCAAAGGUUUAGGAUAUAUUAUCUAGGGUUAGAGUUUAUGAUUUAGGAUUCAUGGUUUACUCUAGGAUUUAGGAUCUACCCAAAGGUAUAGGGUUUACCCAAAAGUUUAUAAUAUACCCAAGGGUUUAGGAUUUACCAAAGGUUUAGGGUUUAACAAGGAUUUAGAGUAUAUUGUUUAGGGUUUAGGGUUUUACUGACGGUGUUAACGACGUUAAAAUAAUUCUUAUGUUUUUGGCAAUAUUACUAUUUUUUAUUUUUUUUCUUUUUUUAUUUCUAAAAUAUAAUAUAACUUGUCAAUUUUUAUUGGUCAUUAGAUAGUUGGUGAACCUAGGUUUACCAUAGAGAGUGAACCUAGAGGUUCAACCUAAGGGAUAAACCCAAGAACAACCCUUAAAUUCUAAACCUUCAGACAAUUAACGGAAAUCGUAAUACCGAACUUAUGGUGCCAAAGCACAACUAAACCAUUAAGCUAUUUUAUACUAGGUUAUUUUUUCGUGCAAAUACAUGGAUAUAAAUUUUAUAAAUUAAAUACAUUGCAAUAAUUUAUUAAUAUGUUGUUUUAAAAUUUUAAUUAUUCUGUUAUAUAUAUUGUAAUCAAUAUGCAAAGUUUAUUUUAAUUAACAUUAUGUUAUUUUAAUAUGACGUCUCGACCUUUUGGUUAUUAUUUGGAUAUAUUAGAUAACAUUCACUUUUCCGGUUCCAUUAUAAUAUUUUGUUAAACAAAUUAAAAUUUUGAUUAAUUUUGUUAUUUUCAUGUAGUUUGACUCUUUGUCUUAGAUGUG
rnacentral:lncRNA from 1 species